CAAUAGCGUAUAUUAAAGUUGUUGCAGUUAAAAAGCUCGUAGUUGGACUUCUGGGUUGUGAUUGUGGUCCGCCUAACGGUGUGCACUGUGGUUGCGACUCUUCUUCCCGUAGUUUGGGGGUGCACUUAGUUGUGUGCUUUUGGAAUAUGGGACCUUUACUUUGAAAAAUUAGAGUGUUCAAAGCGGGCUUACGCUUGAAUAUUUCAGCAUGGAAUAACACUAUAGGACUCCUGUCCUAUUUCGUUGGUCUCGGGACGGGAGUAAUGAUUAAGAGGAACAGUUGGGGGCAUUCAUAUUUCAUUGUCAGAGGUGAAAUUCUUGGAUUUAUGAAAGAUGAACUUCUGCGAAAGCAUUUGCCAAGGAUGUUUUCAUUAAUCAAGAACGAAAGUUAGGGGAUCGAAGACGAUCAGAUACCA
rnacentral:rRNA from 1 species